UACGUAGGGGGCGAGCGUUGUCCGGAGUUACUGGGCGUAAAGCGCUUGUAGGCGGUCCACCAAGUUUGGGGUGACAGUUGCCGACUUAAUCGGCAAAGUGCCUCAAAGACUGGCGGACUUGAGGGCCACAGAGGGACAUGGAACUCCAGGUGUAGUGGUGAAAUGCGUAGAUAUCUGGAAGAGCACCAAAGGCGAAGGCGGUGUCCUGGGUGGUCGCUGACGCUGAGAGGCGAAAGCCAGGGGAGCGAACGGG
rnacentral:rRNA from 1 species